CUUUAGUAUAGAGCAGUGUGAUGUAGUAUGUUUGUAUAAUGUGUAUAGCUGUAGUACAGUGUGUAUAGCUGUAGUAUAGAGUAGUGAGAUGUAGUGUGAUUGUAUAGUGUGUAUAGCUGUAGUAUAGUGUUGUAUAGCUGUAGUAUAGAGCAGUGUGAUGUAAUGUGAUUGUAUAAUGUGUAUAGCUGUAGUAUAGAGUAGUGUGAUGUAGUGUGAUUGUAUAAUGUGUAUGGCUGUAGUAUAGAGUAGUUGGCUGUAUUAUGAUUGAGUGUAUAGUGUAUAUACAGUAGCUGUAGUCCAGUGUAGUGAGGUGUGGUUAUGUGCAUUGAAUACUAAUGCCCAUCUGCUACUCGUGCUCUUGCUCCUCUCUAAUCGUAUAUAUUUAUGCAUUAUCUUAUGAAUAAAACAAUACAAGGUUCUGUUGUAAAGAGCUGCAGGAAGAGCUGUCUUUUAUUUGGUUUUGAUCUCAGCAUGACGUUGAUGUGCUGUUGACACUUUUUUACUUGCGUUCAGCUCUGCGGGACACUCGGGCUGUCGGGAAACUUUUGGGCAGUUGAGAGGCAGGUGUCAGCCAAGCUGAUGGUGAUCGGUGGGAGCGUAGAGCUUCUCCUCUUAUUAUUAGUAAGUGCUCAGUAACCCAGCAUGGAUCUCGUCUGCUCCCGAUAGGGGCUCAGCGGCAAGGGCUGCCUGGGUAAUUUCUGUCCUGUGACAGAGCUCAGGAGGAAAUUGCACGGGUGGAUGGUCGUGUGAUUGCACUGGUCCUUCUGCACAUCUUAUUCUGUCACAACAGUGUGACACUCUUAUUGCUGGCUUUUUUCUUUUCCACCGCCGACACUGUGGCGUGCUCCCUGCCCCUCCUGCGCCCGCCCGGCAAUGGCAGCGGGGUGAAAUUAGAUCAUCGGCAGAAGAAAGUCGUUUGUUUCCAGUGUCAGCAUGUUUUGUUCAUUUGUUCGUGGAUUGAAUUAUGGUUAUGAGACAGGCGUUAAUGAAUUUAUGAGCGACACUGCGCCACGAUGUGUCAGAGAAAUGAGCGCGGCAGGAGAAACAUGAAGGAAGCCAGGAAUAGUUGAGAAUAAUGGGAUCUUUCACACCCAACUUUCUUCAGCUUUACAUUUCAAGCCACAUUUCUGACAUAAAGUAAAUCCCCUUUCCAAAUAUAAUCUCAGCCAGAUGGUAACUUUCUGAAGGCUGGCAAAGGAUUCUGAUUUUUAUUGAUCACUCUUUGCUGGAGUGGAGCAAAAUCAGGUGGUUCUAGGGGGUCAUACUGCGAAGUCUCAGGAAGUGAAGGCGGUCCAGGGUAUAGCUAACUAGCUAGCUAGUUUGUUGUUCGAGAGUGAUUAGAUGUACGCUGUCCAAUUGUUGUAAAUUAUAUUGUAAUGCACUUUACCGUUACGAAGACGUUUUACAGAAAUGUGGUUGCGUAUUUAGAUCAGGAAUGUGCAAAUUAGGAAUGCAUCUAACUUUUGUUUCAGAUUUUUUUUUUUUUUUUUCGGUACUCGUUGACAAAUACUGAUACCAAAAUGAGUAUCCUACUUAGCGCUCAGUUUCAUUUGUGUGCGUACGAAUGACGUUGGCUGCCUUUUUGUGUCGUUUGUUCAUUAUUACAGAAACGUACACUAGGCUUACGUGAUGUAUCACAUGGGACUGGAUGUUGGUAUCUGAGACUGUGAUGAGAUACAAAUUCUUUUGAAUUAGCCAUGUAAUUAUUCUUGGUUAUUUGAUGUUGGACAGAUUUUGUUUAUCGACGCUUUAAUGUUAUCUUCUUUUUAAUCACCCACAGAAGCAAUAAUCUAACCAUGUUGUCGGUUAUUUACUAAAAGCGGUGCAUAAAAUUG
ensembl:lncRNA